UUAACUCAAAUUUUAAUGGAAUUGGACCGUUUACCUACGUUUGCCACUAGGGGCGCUAUUCCAACUGAAUACAAAUUUAAGUUA
rnacentral:pre_miRNA from 1 species